UAUCAAUUAAAAAUAAAAUAGUAAAUGAGGUCCCAGGAACUUCAAUUGCUUAGACAUUUAUAACUUGCCUCAAUAGACAACUUUUAAGCAACAUUUCAGCAGAAUGAAUGUAUAACUGAUGGUUUGAUUAAUAAGAAGGAAUUGGUGCUGCUGAAACAACCGAUGCUUUUGUUGUUUUCACCUUGCAACAAUAUGCAGUUAGUUUUCGCCCUGAGAAUGGGAGGCAAAUGGAAAUUAAUUUGGAAACCACUGAAACAACAAAUUGUCUGCAGUGAUAUACCCUAGAUUUGCUUUGCUCAUCAUACUGGCAGACUUUGGAACGCUACUUUCUACGAUUGGUUAAGAUCGUUCAACAAAUGAGGGGGAGUUGGAAGUUCAGUUUGGUCGUACUGAAACAACCAUUGUCUACAUUGGUGUGGUCUUUGGUGAACUACAUCCUUGAUUUGCUAUUUUUGUCUUCGCUUUCAAUCAUUAUGCAGUUAGUUUUGAACUGAUGAGUGAGAGCAAAUGAAUAUUUAUUUGAUUUCCACUGAAACAAGGAAUUUU